rnacentral:rRNA from 1 species
AAAACAUCUCUUUGUGAUUAAAAUAGUAAGUUGACUCUGCCCAAUGAUUAAUUGAAUGGCUGCAGUAUUUUAACUGUACAAAGGUAGCAUAAUCAAUUGUUUUUUAAAUGAAAUCUUGUAUGAAUGAGGUGAUGAAAUAUAUUCUUUAUUAAAUUUAAAUUUUGAAUUUAAAUUUAAAGUAAAAAUACUUUAAUAAUUUUAAGGGACGAGAAGACCCUAUAGAGUUUAAUAUAAAUAGUUUUUAUUAAUAAUUUAAAAAUUAAAUUAUAUUUAUUUGGGAGGAAUAUUAAAAUUAAAAAACUUUAAUUGAUUAUUAACGUGAAUUAGUGUAUUUAAGAAGUUAUUUUAAUAAUUAAGUUUAAAAUUAAACUACCUUAGGGAUAACAGCGUAAUAUUUUUUAAAAGAUCAUAUUUGAAAAAAUGUUU